GACAGAGGUGGCAAGCGUUGUUCGGAUUCAUUGGGUGUAAAGGGUCCGUAGGUGGUCUAGCAAGUCUGAUGUGAAAUCCCAUGGCUUAACCGUGGAACUGCAUUGGAAACUGGGGGACUUGAGUGCAGAAGAGGAAAGCGGAAUUCCACGUGUAGCGGUGAAAUGCGUAGAGAUGUGGAGGAACACCAGUGGCGAAGGCGGCUCACUGGACCGACACUGACGCUGAGGCGCGAAAGCGUGGGGAGCAAACAGG
rnacentral:rRNA from 1 species